rnacentral:rRNA from 1 species
AACGAACGCUGGCGGCAGGCUUAACACAUGCAAGUCGAACGCACCUUUCGGGGUGAGUGGCAGACGGGUGAGUAACGCGUGGGAAUCUACCCUUCUCUACGGGAUAGCUCCGGGAAACUGGAAUUAAUACCGUAUACGUCCUGAGGGAGAAAGAUUUAUCGGGGAAGGAUGAGCCCGCGUUGGAUUAGCUAGUUGGUGGGGUAAAGGCCUACCAAGGCGACGAUCCAUAGCUGGUCUAAGAGGAUGAUCAGCCACAUUGGGACUGAGACACGGCCCAAACGCCUACGGGAGGCAGCAGUGGGGAAUAUUGGACAAUGGGCGCAAGCCUGAUCCAGCCAUGCCGCGUGAGUGAUGAAGGCCCUAGGGUUGUAAAGCUCUUUCAGUGGGGACGAUAAUGACGGUACCCACAGAAGAAGCCCCGGCUAACUUCGUG